rnacentral:rRNA from 1 species
UACAGGGGGUGCAAACGUUGCUCGGAAUCAUUGGGCGUAAAGCGCGUGUAGGCGGUCCGGUAAGUCCGCUGUGAAAGUCGGGGGCUCAACCCUCGGAUGCCGGUGGAUACUGUCGGGCUUGAGUACGGAAGAGGCGAGUGGAAUUCCUGGUGUAGCGGUGAAAUGCGCAGAUAUCAGGAGGAACACCAAUUGCGAAGGCAGCUCGCUGGGACGUUACUGACGCUGGAGACGCGAAAGCGUGGGAGCAAACAGG